GUGAAUAAAAACUAAAUGGUUUUAGUAUCAAAUUGUGGUUUUGACUUUUUAGGUUCGAUUCCUAUUAUUUACC
rnacentral:tRNA from 2 species